rnacentral:rRNA from 1 species
AUUAUUGGGCGUAAAGAGCUCGUAGGCGGUUUGUUGCGUCGGCUGUGAAAACCUGAGGCUCAACCUCAGGCCUGCAGUCGAUACGAGCAGACUAGAGUGUUGCAGGGGAGACUGGAAUUCCUGGUGUAGCGGUGAAAUGCGCAGAUAUCAGGAGGAACACCGGUGGCGAAGGCGGGUCUCUGGGCAACAACUGACGCUGAGGAGCGAAAGCGUGGGGAGCGAACAGGAUUAGAUACCCUGGUAGUCCACGCCGUAAACGUUGGGCGCUAGGUGUGGGGCUCAUUCCACGAGUUCCGUGCCGCAGCUAACGCAUUAAGCGCCCCGCCUGGGGAGUACGGCCGCAAGGCUAAAACUCAAAGGAAUUGACGGGGGCCCGCACAAGCGGCGGAGCAUGUUGCUUAAUUCGAUGCAACGCGAAGAACCUUACCUAGGCUUGACAUGCACGGAAAUCCUCCAGAGAUGGUGGGUCCGUAAGGGCCGUGCACAGGUGGUGCAUGGUUGUCGUCAGCUCGUGUCGUGAGAGGUUGGGUUAAGUCCCGCAACGAGCGCAACCCUCGUUCUAUGUUGCCAGCACGUCAUGGUGGGGACUCAUAGGAGACUGCCGGGGUCAACUCGGAGGAAGGUGGGGAUGACGUCAAAUCAUCAUGCCCCUUAUGUCUAGGGCUGCAAACAUGCUACAAUGGCCGGUACAAAGGGCUGCGAUACCGCGAGGUGGAGCGAAUCCCAAAAAGCCGGUCUCAGUUCGGAUUGGGGUCUGCAACUCGACCCCAUGAAGUUGGAGUCGCUAGUAAUCGCAGAUCAGC